rnacentral:rRNA from 1 species
AACUAUGUGCCAGCAGCUGCGGUAAUACAUAGGUCGCGAGCGUUAUUCGGAUUUAUUGGGCGUAAAGCAAGCGCAGGCGGAUUGAUAAGUUCUGUGUUAAAAGCAGCUGCUCAACAGUUGUUUGCACCGAAUACUGUCAGUCUAGAAUAUGGUAGGGAGUUUCGGAAUUAAAUAUGGAGCGGUGGAAUGUGUAGAUAUAUUUAAGAACACCAGAAGCGAAGGCGGAAACUCAGGCCACUAUUGACGCUUAGGCUUGAAAGUGUGGGGAGCAAAUGGGAUUAGAUACCCCAGUAGUCCACACCGUAAACGAUGGGUAUUAGAUGCCGGGACCUGAGUUUCGGCGUUGUAGCUUACGUGUUAAAUACCCCGCCUGGGUAGUACAUAUGCAAAUAUGAAACUCAAAGGAAUUGACGGGGACCUGAACAAGUGGUGGAACAUGUUGCUUAAUUCGAUAAUACACGAAAAACCUUACCAAGGUUUGACAUCCCCCGCAAAACCAUAGAAAUAUGGCGGAGGUUAUCGGGGUGACAGGUGGUGCAUGGUUGUCGUCAGCUCGUGUCAUGAGAUGUUUGGUUAAGUCCCGCAACGAGCGCAACCCUACUCCUUAGUUACCUAUUCUAGGGAGACUGAACAGUAAUGUAUAGGAAGGUUGGGAUCACGUCAAAUCAUCAUGCCCCUUAUGCCUUGGGCUGCAAACGUGUUACAAUGGCGAGUACAAUGUGUUGCAAGCUAGCGAUAGUAAGCCAAUCACCAAAACUCGUCUCAGUUCGGAUAGGAGGCUGCAAUUCGCCUCCUUGAAGUUGGAAUCACUAGUAAUCCCGUGUCAGCUAUAUCGGGGUGAAUACGUUCCCAGGUCUUGUACAC